CGUAAUAGCUCACUGGUCUAGUGAUUUUGCGCGGAAAAUAUAACGGGGCUAAAGUAAGUACCGAAGCUGUAGACUUGCGCACAACUUAGAUUAUUUAAGUUUAGAAUAUGAGAAACUAAGUUAUAUGUUUAGUUAUAUUUUUACUGAUUUUUAUAGAGUAAAGAUAGAAAUAAAACUUAGUAAAAUCAGUAAAAAUAUUCUUAGACUAAAGUUAAGUAGUUUAAGUUGUGUGCAAGUGGUAGGAGAGCGUUCUAUUUGCGUCGAAGGUAUACCGGUAAGGAGUGCUGGAGCGAAUAGAAGUGAGCAUGCAGGCAUGAGUAGCGAUAAUUAAUGUGAGAAUCAUUAACGCCGUAAACCCAAGGUUUCCUACGCGAUGCUCGUCAUCGUAGGGUUAGUCGGGUCCUAAGUCGAGUCCGAAAGGGGUAGACGAUGGCAAAUUGGUUAAUAUUCCAAUACCAACAUUAGUGUGCGAUGGAAGGACGCUUAGGGCUAAGGGGGCUAGCGGAUGGAAGUGCUAGUCUAAGGUCGUAGGAGGUUAUACAGGCAAAUCCGUAUAACAAUACUCCGAGAACUGAAAGGCUUUUUGAAGUCUUCGGAUGGAUAGAAGAACCCCUGAUGCCGUCGAGCCAAGAAAAGUUUCUAAGUUUAGCUAAUGUUGCCCGUACCGUAAACCGACACAGGUGGGUGGGAUGAGUAUUCUAAGGCGCGUGGAAGAACUCUCUUUAAGGAACUCUGCAAAAUAGCACCGUAUCUUCGGUAUAAGGUGUGGUUCGCUUCGUAUUAGGAUUUACUCCGAAAGCGAAGAAACUUACAACAAAGAGUCCCUCCCGACUGUUUACCAAAAACACAGCACUCUGCUAACUCGUAAGAGGAUGUAUAGGGUGUGACGCCUGCCCGGUGCUCGAAGGUUAAUUGAUGGGGUUAGCAUUAGCGAAGCUCUUGAUCGAAGCCCGAGUAAACGGCGGCCGUAACUAUAACGGUCCUAAGGUAGCGAAAUUCCUUGUCGGUUAAAUACCGACCUGCAUGAAUGGCGUAACGAGAUGGGAGCUGUCUCAAAGAGGGAUCCAGUGAAAUUGUAGUGGAGGUGAAAAUUCCUCCUACCCGCGGCAAGACGGAAAGACCCCGUGGACCUUUACUACAGCUUGACACUGCUAUUUGGAUAAGAAUGUGCAGGAUAGGUGGGAGGCUUUGAGUAUAUGACGCCAGUUGUAUAUGAGCCAUUGUUGAGAUACCACUCUUUCUUAUUUGGGUAGCUAACCAGCUUGAGUUAUCCUCAAGUGGGACAAUGUCUGGUGGGUAGUUUGACUGGGGCGGUCGCCUCCCAAAUAAUAACGGAGGCUUACAAAGGUUGGCUCAGAACGGUUGGAAAUCGUUCGUAGAGUAUAAAGGUAUAAGCCAGCUUAACUGCAAGACAUACAAGUCAAGCAGAGACGAAAGUCGGUCUUAGUGAUCCGGUGGUUCUGUGUGGAAGGGCCAUCGCUCAAAGGAUAAAAGGUACCCCGGGGAUAACAGGCUGAUCUCCCCCAAGAGCUCACAUCGACGGGGAGGUUUGGCACCUCGAUGUCGGCUCAUCGCAUCCUGGGGCUGGAGCAGGUCCCAAGGGUAUGGCUGUUCGCCAUUUAAAGCGGUACGCGAGCUGGGUUCAGAACGUCGUGAGACAGUUCGGUCCCUAUCUGCCGUGGGCGUAAGAAGAUUGAAGAGAUUUGACCCUAGUACGAGAGGACCGGGUUGAACAAACCACUGGUGUAGCUGUUGUUCUGCCAAGAGCAUCGCAGCGUAGCUAAGUUUGGAAAGGAUAAACGCUGAAAGCAUCUAAGCGUGAAGCCAACUCUAAGAUGAAUCUUCUCUAAGCUCUCUAGAAGACUACUAGUUUGAUAGGCUGGGUGUGUAAUGGAUGAAAGUCCUUUAGCUGACCAGUACUAAUAGAGCGUUUGGCUUAUCUUUAAUAAAGCAU
rnacentral:rRNA from 1 species